GAUUUUUUUGGUUGCAGUUUCAAUUGAGAUACGGAUUUUUCUAUUAAUUCAAAAAAUCAAAUGUGGUAUGCCUGACUGUAGAGUCAAUCAGGUGUUUCUUGUGUAGAGCCUGUUUCUCUGCUAAUCAGGGAGGUCUUCAGGUCAGUGCAAUCUCUCGUCUGUAUUAUAAAAGGAACAGAGCACUUAACUCUUCUUCAGCCUCCCCGAUGUACUGGGUCAGCUUGCUCCACCUCCUGGGAAAUGGUAGCUAUUUCUGAAGACAUCUCUUCUCCAAUAACUAAACUAGGCAGGGAGGUCUACUGGGAGCUGCUGGUCUCCAAUACCAACAACCCCGCUUCCUUGCUAUCAGAGCUGACUAAGACAUUCAGAGUUGAUGCAUUUCUACCAACCCAAACUCUCUGAAUCUGACUCUAAAACCAGAAUGGUGGCAUGGCUGAUGGUUGGAUUUCGGCUCCCACAAUCAUUUGCCAUGAACUGUACUGCUUGGAGUUGAUGUGAGAUGUUUCACACAUCUGAAUUACAAUAAAAUCCCCCAUAUCCAUGAGAGAUACAUUCCCGGUCAGACCUUAGUUACUUGAAACUGUGGGUGCAUCUGAAUAAUGAAUCAUGUGACUUGCGUUGUUCCUCUGUUUUUUUGGUUCUUAUACCAGCCUGUUUCCAAAAUUCCUACAUGUAGACAUAAUGGAAGCAGGCCCCACUGCUGAAUUCAGGAUACAGGGAUAUAUUUUUGGAUGUUAAUACAGUUCUGUAAAGAGAUUUCAUCCAUGGCUGCUUUUGUUCCUCUUGAUCCAAUUCAUUUAACCAAGAAUUUUGCUUCACAGUGUCCAGUCUGAUCAUUACAUUUUAUCAAUUUAAAUCCCAUCUUGUUUUCAAAUUAGAACAUAUAGAUUAAAGCUUACAUCAGCAAAAAAUACAAUAUAAUUAUAAGUUUUGAAUAGAAGUGAUAUAAAAGCAUAACUCAUUAAAGCAGCAGGAAAUACGAAUAGUUUAGCAUACUAUUAAAAGGCUUUUCACCACUGGGGUUUUUAUACUGGCUUCACAACAACCAAAAGUCUCUGGGAAUCUCCCAAGCAGGAGUCAUAGCUAAUAUCAUAUUUACUCAAGUCUAAUGCGCCACUGAAUCUAAUGCACACCUCAAUUUUCAAAACUCUGAAACCAAAAAAAGUAUUUUCUGCAAAAUGUAAUACGCAUCGGCAAAAAGUGCUUGCUGUGUAACUUGGCCAUUACAGUUGCUGCAUGCUUAGAAUUCCUUCUUUAAAAACUAUAGUGUUAGAGCACCAAAGCUUCCAACAACAGAAAAUAAAAUCCUGGGCUGCAUCUAUGCUGUAUAGUGAAUCCACUUUAAUUGCCCUGGUUCAAUGUUAUGAGAUCACAGAGGCUGUAGUUUUACAAGGUCCUGAGUUUCCUCUGCCAAAGGAUGCCAGUGCCUUACCAAACAACAAAUCCCAGGACUCCACAGCAUUGAGCCAUGGACAAUAAAUUAGAUGACGUCCUCCAAAUAGUAGCUCCAGGUAUGCCUGAAGCAGCUUCUCAUUUUGCUUUGGCUCACCACUUAAGAUUACCAGAUGACACAAAUCUAAGGAGCACACUAAUUUUGGGAAGGGAAUCCAACCAAAAAAAGUGAGUAUUAGAUUCGAGUAAAUAGGGUAGUUAUCUUCUGUUUCCUAGCAGUCCAUAUGCAGCAGAAUACUGGAUCUCCAUGUGGUCGUUGUAAUCAUUGGUUGACUUGCUUUGUUAAUCCAGCCAUCUAAAGCCAUAUGAGGUUGUAGGUCUCCCUUCUGGUGACAGUGGAUUCCAUACAUUAAUUAUGCACUGUAUGGGGAAACAAAAAUGUUGGGUUUUUUUUUUUUUGCUUUUUCCAAAUACACAUAACUGCAUGACCUCAAUUUCUAAUGUUUUACAAGAAACAGAAAAGUUUUGUUGUGUUUGCUUCCUCCACCAUCUAUCAUGUCUCCACUUAGUUGAUUUCCUGGUCUCUAGGACUGAGAGGUCUCAAGUUUUGAUGCAUCAAGUGGUCUUGUUAUAUGUAUUUUGUACCUUAGCAGUAAGGGGAAAAGGAGGUGUUCUUACUGAAUUUGAACUGGGAAAUUUGGUGAUUCCAACACAUUCUAUUGGAUUUCUCAUGCUUACUCUUUUGUGUCUUGGGUGUGAUGGUUAGGAUGGUUGGAAGCAGACAGUUUAGUUUGGGUUAAGUGAAAUAAAAUGCUUGAUGGAGAUUUAUAUGUGAGAGUUUUGGGGUUCCAUUUGUGAAAGUGAAAGAACUACAUUUUGGGUUUUGAUUGAGCAUAUUUUGAUGAUUGCUGCAAGUUCUGGAAAACUUGUUGAAAACUGAAGAUGUAAAGAGCUUCUCUGAGAUUUUCUUAGUCUUAGGCAACUUCUUGGCUUCAGAAUACCUCAGAUCAUCUCCUGAAAUUAAUUUUAAAUGUUACAGAUGUUUUCUUUUAACCAAAAAUUUAGCCAGAUGCUCCUUGAAUAUCAUAUUACUUUCAUUCCAUGAUGGGUUGCUUGAAGUCUUCAGUCAGAUCUUAGGUAAGAGCAUGUUUGGGGUGAAACCUCUCAGAAUCACCUACUUGCACCACAAGUUGAAGUUUAAAAAAGUUUUCUUCAAGAUGAGCCUCAAUUCAAUUCACAAGCUCAAUUCAAUAGGGAGUCCCAGCUAGAAUAGUCCCAUUAAAUUACUGAGAAUGUGUUAGUUUAGCACAUACAGAGUUUACCCUUUGUCUUCAUCUGUGGCCGAGAGACUGUGACUUGCCCAAGGUCAUUCAGUGAGUUUCAUGGCUGAGAAGGGAUUUGAAACUGGGACAUUGUCCAAUGCUCAGACUGCUAUAUUAUCCUAGGCUCUGACCCUAUUCUAUGCCAGCAGCGUUAUGGCUUUUUGAACAGUGAAAUGUGUCCAGUCUCAAGGGUUUGUUUCAGAGCUGCAAUCAAGCUGUUGCCCUUCUGCAUGGCAGGGUCAUUACUUUACUGCUUUCCCUGCAUCUGAAGCCUUGCAUUUAAUGUCCCCUUGGAUUAAAAUCCAUGUAAAUUAAAAUAUAUAUUGAUUAAUGACUGAAUUUAUUGCAAGACCCGUCAGCAAUUGUAGGCAAGGUCCAUAUCAGUCUGGGAGAGCUGCCAAAACGACAUAAUUAUUUACCUGGGAUCUAAAGGGUCUUCCCCAGUGAAAGUUGCACAUGACUCUUGGGAGCAAACCUAAGGAAUAUACCAUGCGUUCUUACAGAAUGAGUUGGCUGGAAAGUUCCUUUAAUGGGGAAAUCUAAAGUUAAGUUUGCUUUACUGCUCCCCUCUGUCAUAUUCUCUCUCUGUGUGUAAUGUUUAGAGUGUUGUACUGAGACUUCUGAGAUCCAGGUUCAAGUAACCACUGAGCUAUGAAACUCACUAGGUGAUUUGAGGUCAUUUUCUCUUCAGUAGUAUCACCAAGGUUGGUAUCACCCAAUGAGGUACCUCAACCAAUAUGGGCUUCCUUCUGUACCAAAACAUGCGACAAUAUUGUGGCUAAAAUACCAGAAACUUCAAGUAUCUGUACCCCCAUCCCUCCUUCAUCCUAAAAGUUUGCAUAUGCAUUCACCUAAACACAUACACAGCAGAGUCUUGCUUAUCCAACAUAAAUGGGCUGGCAGAACAUUGGAUAAGCAAAAAAUGUUGGAUAAUAAGGAGGGAUUAAGGAAAAACCUAUUAAACGUCAUGUUUUACAACAAAUUGACAGAAAAAGCAGUUUGAUACAUGGUAACGUUAUGUAGUAAUUACCAGUACUGUAUUUAUGAAUUUAGCACCAAAAUAUCUGAAUGUAUUGAAAACAUUGACUGCAAAAACAUUGACUACUAAAAGGUAAUCUGCAUUGGAUAAUACAGAACGUUGGCUAAGCAAGACUCUACUGUAUGUAUAUGUGUUUGUCCAUGGUUCAACACCUGGUUCCUCACUCUGCAUACUAACCAGAAGUUCAAAAUGGUAUAGUUAGUGCAAACAAACUAAUGGAUACGUUUAGACAAUUCUAAGGUCACAAAUGAUACUUAUUUUGAUCCUGCAUCCCUGGUAGGCUAUUUAUCGUAUUUCAUAUCUUAAAAGAAAAAGGAUGCAGACGGCAGUCACUGUGGCAUAGAGGAUGGAAUACUGAAUUUUUACUUAAACUUGGGAAGAGGGCAGGAUUGACAUCCCCGUUCAGGUUAUGAACAUGCAGUGUUCAGAGCAGAUCUUAAGGGGGAUGUGUAUUCCCUAAACAAACAUGUUUUCUAUUCAGUAGCAGGAAAGGUGUCUAUCUGCAAUCAGAAUUGCAAAUUAAGGCCAUGUUUACCUUCAGAAAACAAAGUACAUCAAACAAAAGAAGGUAUUAUGGCAUACGCCUGUCAACUCCCCCUUCUUCACUAUCUCUCUCACACACAAUUUCACCAAGAACCUACCAUUAGGAAGACACAUACUGCAGUUUGGCAUACAGCAGGAAAAAUGCAAAUCACCCCGUUGCUGGAAUCAAAAGCUGUUUUGGCUGUUUGGAGCAGUGGGAGAGGGAGAAAAGCUGAAGAUUAAAACUCUGGAGAAUUCUAUGUUUUCUUAUCUAUGGCUUUGAUUUUUUUAAGGGGGGGGUGUCGAACAACAGGAGGUAAAGCAAGGCACAUCUGAGGAGUAAUCUGAGAGCACAUAUGAAGGGGGUGAGAACUGAUUUGCAAAGAAAUUCAACUGAGAGGGAAAGAUGAAGUUCUUACCCAUCCCUCUGAAUCUUAGAUAUGAUUCUCCAUUUGGGAUGCAAUAUUUUUUCGGUUGCUAUUGCUUUGGGCAAAAUAUGUCCACCCCAAUCUAUUAGUACCCUCUACUUUCUGCAGUAGUCAAUCAAAUGGAUCUAAGAAGCCCAUGAAUGAAACCUCAAAGCAGAGACACUCUCGGUUGAUGUUCUCCUUCAACAUGUGUUUUGUGGCACACUAGAUUUGGACCAUAAGGGUACAUAGCCAUCAUGAGCCAUUGAUAAAAUUUAUACUUCAUGGAUUUGCUGAAACCGUAAGUGGGCAUCUUCUGAGAGUUACUGACUCUUUGGAAUCCAUGAAGACAUUUGGAGAUGAAGCACUGCUGCUGCAAUUUGGCAAUGUUUCCAAUUUGUUUCUGCAAACCGUAAUUCAGAGACUAGAGUGGCAUGCUAUGAUGCAGGAUGUUGCAUCAGCAGCUUUUUGGCAUUACUCGGCUACUUUCCCUCCUAGCUUGUCCCCAUAUGUCUCCCCAUCCUGAUAUACCUUACAAGGUGGUUGUGUAGUUAAAGAGCGGAAGUGGAAGCCCUGUAAUCAACCUUGAAAUCCCUGGAGGAAAGGAAGGCUAUCAAAGUUAAUCAGUUAAGCAAUACGUACUGGUAUGACUAUCAAAGACCAGUUAACAGAAAAUAUUAUCUGUAUUCUGUGAGCAUCACAGUAAUUCUCAAAAGAUUCUCUGCUUUCCUUGAUAGGAUGACUAAGUUUCUAAUCCUUAUGGCUGAAAGACCUAGAUUUUAGGAUGUGUGUGUAAUGCAUUACAACUUCCCAAAGCCAGAGAAUUGAGAAGUAAAGGACUUAGAAUUAUUCCCACCAGCCAUUGUUCUAAUAUAAUGGAAUAUUGGUGAUUUUUUUAGAUGGUGGCAUUGGAUUUAGAAUUUGGUUUUUGUGUGAGUGGCGUGCUACUGAAUAAAUGUCCCAAUCCAGGAAAAAGAUUCCACGUUGCUGUCAUACCUUUAUGAUGCCAACUAAAAAAGGCACCAUACUAUUUUAAAUUAUUUAUAAAUAUAUUUAUUUUAUUUAUAUCCCACCUUUCUCCCACCCUGGAAUCCAUUAUACAAGCUGUCAGAGGCCCUAGGCUUCUUCAACAGUUAUGAAUGCUAAAAAGCUAUUCUUUGGUAGGAAAUGUGAUGAUGGAAGGCCAGGGUUAAACUGAUGGUUAACUUUAAAGCUGAUGGUGACUGAAGGAGGUUUGAAGAAGGUAUAGGCCAAACAUCUUGCUGACCAUGAGGUAUUUUGGGAUACAAAAAUAAAACAAGGUAGUAAAACUUUUUCUGCCAGUCUUCCUCUGAAAGUAGUAUGUACCUUAAGAAAACAGUUCCUAAUGCUAAGGGGUUUGGGGCCCCUUCCGCACAACGGUAUAAAAUCAAAAUUGAACUGGAUUAUGUGGACUCAGAUAAUCCAGUUAAAAGCAGAAAUCGUAGAUCAUCUGUCUUGAUAUUCUGGGUUAUAUGACUAUGUGGAAGGGCCCCGAGUGUAGCAUUACUGAGUUUAGUUGGUCCAAAACAAUCUGUUUUAUAAGGACUUUUGAAGAUUGAAUGCAAAUUGGUAUUCCCCUUCUGCUCCUUUUGGCUUUGUAACUUCAAGAUAAUGGGCUCUAGCAAAUCUGACUUUGUGUCAACAUUGUUCCUUUUUAUUCCUGAAAUGUUCAGUUCCCUGCACCAAUAACAUGCUGAGGAAGUCAAACCUACAUUAGCAUUGUCCCCAAAUAGAAUCAAUACUCCUUUCCCAAAUGCUCUUUUGUCCUCCUUUGUUUCGGUUUUUGCAUGUCAUCAGAGUUAUUUUAGCAAGUGCUUGCCUCCUGGGUUUUGGUUGUUUGUACUCCAGAGAAAGUUCACCAGUCCUUCAGCAAAAGCACGUCAGUAACAGGGAGACAUUUGGAUGGUUAAUAUUCUCCGUUCUACGCUGGCAAUGGAAGGGAAGCUGGGAAGUUAUUUGGUUUUUUCAGUAGCUGUGUGAUGUUGGUACAUUCCAAGCCUUGAGCCGGAUUCCUUCCAUAUUGCAUUAGGAAACCAAAAUAGACGUGAGAAGAAGACUGGAUUGUGAUGAGAGGUAGACUGGGCAUUGGGUGACACGUUGCCUGCCAACCUAUGGUGACUCCAUGAGUUCCAUAACUUUUCUAAGCACUCAGAGAUGGUUUUGCCAGUCCCUUCUUCUGAAAUGUAAUAAACAGCAGGGACCCUCAAACUUUUAAAGCAGAGGACCAAUUCAUGGUCCCUCAGACUGUUGAGGGGCUGGACUAUAGUUUGAAAAAAAAAUGAACAAAUUCUUAUGUACACUGGGCAUAACUUAUUUUAAGUGCAAAAAAAUCCCAUGAAAGAACAAUGCAGUAUUUAAAAUGAAGAACAAUUUUAACCAACAUAACCUGACCAGUAAUCCAAUGGGAAGUGUGGGCCUGCUUUUGCCUGAUGUGGUGGUUGUUGUUGUUGUUGUUGUUGUGUGCCUUCAAGUAGCUUCAGACUGUAACCGCCCCAAAAUCCAAAAUGUUGGGCCGGGACUGGGUAAAUGACCUUGGAGGGCCAUGGGCCUUCAUUUGGGGACCUCUGGUCUACAGCACCUAAUGUUCAUUGGGGUCUCUUACUGAGUACUAACCAGAGCUGACCCUACUUAGCUUCCAAGACCACGUUGAACAUUCUUGCUCUGACCAAUCCAUUCUGUAUGUAUUGUGCGGUGAAGAGAGAGUGGCUUGUGGUCUCAAAAGAUCUGGAAUGUUUUCAACCUUCAUACCAUGUUUAUAGUUGGAACUGAUUAGAUAACUAGUACCAACAAAAGUUUGCUUGCCUUGGAACAGGAAGGGCUGAGUUUAAAUCCCUCCUUGGUCAAGGGAUUUGUUCUUGGGCCAGUACCACCACCUUUUAUGAAACCCACCAUAUGCAUCCUUCCCUUGCUUUUUGGAUUUCACCUCUUAUCCUGCUCCCUUUCGCUUCCCUUACUUCGCCUUGCGCCAUUGAUUCUUCUACUUAGCCACUUGCAUUGCUCAGUUUGUUCCCUCCUUGUCUUUCCCUUACCUCACCUUGCAGCAUCUCAAGGUGUUCUUUGCCUUUUUCCAAAAUAGGAAAACAUUGAAUCUGAGCUAGAUUAUGGUCCAAGAAGUGUCAGAUGGCAUGCCUAGUAAAACCCAGAGAUCUAGGUUGCAUGGUAACUCUGUCCAAAGUCCCUAGAGCAGGGGUCCCCAAACUAAGGCCCGGGGGCCGGAUGCGGCCCUCCAAGGUAAUUUACCUGGCCCCCGCCCUCAUUUACAAUAUAAUAUUUUUAUAUCAGUUUUAAUAAUAUAAUAUAUUGUAUAUACAUAUACUAUUGAUAAUAAUAUUAUCAUUUUAUACAAUACAAUACUAACAAUAAUAUCAUAUAAUAAUAUUAAUUAUAUGUUAUAUAUUACAUAUAACAUUACAGUAUAGUGGUAUAGUUCAAUAUAGUAUAAUGCUAAUAUUGUGCUAUGCUAAUAAUAUAAUAUAUUGUAUGUACAUACAGCUGCUCUAAGUUCCCUUCGGGGUGAGAAGGGUGGGAUAUAAAUGUAGUAAAUAAAUGUAGUAAAUGAAUAAAUAAAUAAUUUUGGACUUAGGCUCACCCAAAGUCUGAAAUGACUUGAAGACACACAACAACAACAACAACAAUCCUAAAUAACCUGACUAUCUCAUUGGCCAGAAGCAGGCCCACACUUCCUAUUGAAAUCCUGAUAGGUUUAUGUUCCCAGAUUAAUAGGAAAUCUCCAAUACCAAGUCCCAUAAGCACUUUAUUAGAAUUAAGAUUGCAUAUCGCACUCUGCACUUGCCCUAUAAGCCUUAUAUAUCACCUGUCACAUAAGCACUUUUAAUCUUGUACCCAUUACUCUGGCCCGGCCCAGUUCUAUUGUGUUUUAACGUAUUGUUAUUGCUUGUGGUUUAUACUGUUUUAAUUCUUUUAAUUUGCCUUUGUUUGUAUUGUUAUAUUGUGUGUUGAGGCCUUGGCCUUUGUAAGCCGCAUCGAGUCCUUCGGGAGAUGCUAGCGGGGUACAAAUAAAGUUUAAUAAUAAUAAUAAUAAUGUUGGUUAAAAUUAUUUUCAUUUUUAAAUAUUGUAUUGUUCUUUCAUUGUUGUUGUUGUUUUGCACUACAAAUAAGACAUGUGCAGUGUGCAUAGGAAUUUGUUCGUUUCUUCCCCCCAAAUGAUAAUUCGGCCCCUCAACAGUCUGAAGGAUUGUGGACCGGCCCUUUGCUUAAAAAGUUUGAGGACCCCUGCCCUAGAGUUUCCUGCUCUUAAUAUAUGGGCAGAAAUAGGUACAGAGCUACAUUUCACACAUAGAUUACAUUUGUCUUUUCCUUCAAGCUGCAUUGAGAAAUAGGGAGAGAUUUCUUUGUUAUCUGCUCUGAGGGUGCUCUUCUCCAAGUUGUGUUCUUCCUCGCCCCAUAAAUCUAUCAUUUUCCUGCCAAGUCUAGUUUCAGAUUUGUAAUGAUAAGAGGAGGCUGCAGUUUAGACAGUGAAAGCCAAUGUGAGGCUGCCUUGAGUUAUUUAAGCCAGUUCCAUGCCUUGUUUUCUGACUAUUUCGAAGAUUGGAACAUUACAGUUAUAGUUACAGGACGCCCGGAUGUUGUGAAUUCUUUUUAUAGGGUGAAAGUGACAAAUUGUGAAUAAAGAUAGUGCACUUUUAAAGGAUUUUUUUAGUUUUUUCAGCACAACACUAUGGUCAACUUUCACUGGAAGCUGAAAAUAGAAUUGCAUUGGAGGACCUAGAAAUUCCUAAAUAACUGUAUUUACUCUGGAAAUCUUGCUCCUCCAGCGUGACUGGAGGAAGUUGACCAUUAUACACCUAGAUAUAACAUUUUAAUCAAAUCCGUAAAUACCAAAAUCAAUAAACGGCAAAACUACAAAUGGGGAAGGUAGACUAGACUGUACAUCCUUUUCAGUUUCUAACAAGUGACUGAAAUUAUUACUUUUAAUUACUUCUAAAACCUUAUCAAAGUGCUUCUGAUUGUGACAGGGAACCCAUUACCUUUCUCUUUUUUCUUUGGCAUCACUUGCAAAACAGUUCAAGGUAGAAGCACAAGCCAGCACCUGGAUGGAAUACUCCCCCUCUACCAUUUAGUGACACUAUUUUCCAGUAAUUGUAUGAGUAACUUUAAAAGCACAAUAUGACUAGUUAUUCUAUCUGUAGUACUGGGCUUCUCAAAGUGUGUUUUGUUGAGCCCUUGGGGCUCCGUAAAGCAUAUUGAGGGGCUCUGCGCUUUUUUCCUUUUCUCCCCCUCCUUUCCUUCCAAGCGUUCCCUCCAGUUUCCUGCUCUUCCCCUGCCUCCCUUGCUGUCAAAAGCUCCUUUUCCUCACUUCCCUCACCACCCAGAUCCUUUCCCCCUCGCCUUUCUUGCUUCCAAAACCUAUUUCCCUCCCACUGCUCAGGGAGUGCUUUGGUUGAGCUUUUCCUGCAUGGCAGAAGGGGGUUGGAUUGGAUGGUUCUUGGAGUUACUCUUAUUAUUAUUUGAAAUACUGUAAUGUGUAUGUUGGUCAAAAAAAUUGCCUAUGCCUGAUAUACACACACACACACACACAAUAUAUAUAAUAUGCUAUUUAAUACAAUAUUUAAACAUUUCUUGGGGCUCCGUGAGACCUAUUUGCUUCAAAAAGGGUUUCACGGCUGAAAAAGUUUGAGAACCCCUGCGUAGCAAAUAGCAUUUAGAGAGUAACAUAGCUGGCUCCAUAAUUAUUUCAAACGGGAACUGAUUAAAGUGACUGGUGUAUUUAUAGCUGAUUAUUUCUAGAUUCUGGGCAUUUUUAGAAGAUGAUUUGAUUUUCACUGUUCUUCCAUCUCUCAUUGAUUUGCCUUAGUUCCAGUUUGCUUGUAGUAGUAUUAACAGUAGUCGUGGUGGUAACAACAACAACAACAACAAUAACAACAUUUUAUCUGUUACCCACUUCUGAGAGGUUGAGAGGAGACAUGAUAGCCAUGUAUAAAUAUGUGAGGGGAAGUCAUAGGGAGGGAAGGAGUAGGCUUGUUUUCUGUUAUCCUGGAGACUAGGAUGCGGAACAAUGGCUUCAAAGUAGAGUAAAGGAGAUUCCACUGAACAUGAGGAAGAACUUCCUAACUGUGAGAGCUGUUCAGCAGUGGAGCUCUCUGCCCCGGACUGUGGUGGAGGCUUUUAAUCGGAGGCUGGAUGGCCAUCUAUCAGGGGUGCUUUGAAUGCGAUUUUCCUGCUUCUUGGCAGGGUGUUGGACUGGAUGGCCCACAAGGUCUCUUCCAACUCUAUGAUUCUAUCAUUCUAUGAUUCCCGUAAUGGUUUGAAGCAUGGUUCAAUACAGUCAGAAAACAUCAACAUAAUAAAAUACAUAAUAUAUCAAAAAGCACCACUAUAAAAUAGAUACACCGAAGGACAUGAUCAGAAUACAACACCAUUAGAAUGCAAAUGCUAGACUCAUGGUUGAACGUUGACUGGGUAGGCCUGCUGGAAGAGAGGUCUUCAGUUGUGUCUUAAAUUCUGACAGCUCAUUUAGCUGUCAAAUACUUUCCAGCAGCUCAUUCCACAGAUUUCUUGGGGUGGUAGAUGAAAAGGUCAUCUGGGUGACAGUUGGAGUCAGCGUCUGUCAGAAGACCUCAGUGUCCUCUGAAGUGUCAACCAGAGGACUUCAACGGAUUGUGCGGGAGAAGGCCACCUUGCAGUUAACUUGUACCCAAACCAUGCUGGGCUUUGCAGGUUAUAACCAACAAGUUGUACUUUUCCCAUAAACUAUUUGGCAAUCAGUGCUUUUGUUUGGGUGUGAUAUGCACACUCCUAGAAGUUCCAGUAAUCACUCUGGCUUCCAUGUUUUGAAAUAGUUGGAGUUUCUGAACUUGGUAAAGAGAUAGCCCAAUGUACCAUGCAUUGCAUUGUAGUUCUGACUCUGAUUCAUCCUGAUUACCUCAGUUUUGGGUUGCUUUCAUAUCCCUAAAGUUUCAACUUUUGCACUCCCUAACCUUUGCUUUUGACCUCAGAGUAACCUAAUCUUAGCGAACAGGGAUGCUAUGGGAAGGCAUUUGUAUUUUGGUGCAUAUCAUUAACUGUGAGGCUCAUUGUGAUUAUUUCCUGCUUCAAAAGGCUUGCAAUAUACACUCCUUUAUUCCAUGGACCAUCUGUUUUAACAAGGACAAUUUUGUAAACAACGUUAAUAAUAGUUUUCGUGAUAUGUGGAACCCAGUAGUGAAUAAGGUAAUUCAAAAAGUAGGACUUGCCAGUCUUGAAUAUAAAUGACUUUCUGUUUUCCAAGAUUGUGCAUUAGAUGCUUUCAAAAAUGUAAUUAACUUUUUUUUUAAAGAAACUUCCAAUUCCAUUUCUUAAGUUUUUCUUUGUUGCCUUGAAAUUUAAGUUGCACCAUGAUACGUUGAUUAUACUAUAGGAUUCUACUUGCCUAUUACAGUAAUAAGACUUCAAGAAAGAUCUUAAUGGAGCUGUUAAUCUGCCCUUUUGCCUCCCCGCUUUCUCAUUUCUGGCUGUUGUUUGCUUCUUGCCUGUCUCCUGUGUCAUUUGAUGGUGUUUGCAGAAGAUCAGCCUGGCUUUGGAUCCUUAUGAUUGCUUCUUUCUUCCACUGUUCUGUUAACAGAGCCGAUCAGAUCCGAGCGACAGUAAUUGAAAUUCUGUGUGAUGGUGAUAUAAAGCUCUGACCCCUAAGGGAUUGUAUUCUAAUGCCAUAUUUUUUAAUUUAAGAAAGCGUUGAUGAGAGGAGGAAAUUAACAAGCCCAUACACACUGUAAGUCAAGCAUGAGGUGGUGAAUCCUUUGGUGAGUAAACCUCAGGAGGAGCUUAGGGAGUACGGAUCAGGAGAGCAGGCACAAAACACGGAGUUGUUUGCAUUUGGACUUCAGCCAAGGUUUUGAUUGGGCUGCUCCACAAAUUCGUGUAAUCUUUUAUAGCUGACAUGUAGGAUCUGAUACUCUUUGUGCAAAUUUUGUGUUGGCACCAACUUUUGUGACCACAUUGAAUCCCACUAUCAUUUGCCUGUUUAAUUGCUUUAUUUAAUUUAUAUCCCACUUUUCUCCUUUCUAGGAGAUCAAGGCAUUUUACAAAAUGUUAAAACAAAGCACAGCUUUUUAAAAAGCUAAUAUAAAACUUUAAAACAAACGGAUUAAAACUGUUUUAAAAGCACAUUUGGAACCCAGAUACAGAUACAACACAUCUCGUUAAACUCCCACGUGCUGUAACAAGUUUCAAAGCGAAUGACUUCCCAAAUACAGUCUCACUUAUCCAACAUAAACGGGCCAGUAGAACAUUGGAUAAGCAAAAAUGUUGGAUAAUAAUGAGAGAUUAAGGAGAAGUCCAUUAAAUGUCAAAUUAUGUUAUGAUUUUACAAAUUAAACACCAAAACAUCAUGUUUUACAACAAAUCAACAGAAAAAGCAAUUCAAUACAUGGUAACGUUUUGUAGUAAUUAUUAUAUUUACAAAUUUAGCACCAAAACAUCACAAUGUAUCGAAAGCAAUAAGUACAAAAACUUUGGCUACUAACAAAUUGACUACAAAAUAAAGAUAGAUUUGUAUAAAAUGAACUUAAAGUAACAAUAUUGUCAGAAAUUAAAUUCUUAAGUUCAGUCCCUGCUGCCUAGAGAAACAGCUGUGGAUCUGGGUGGGAGGCAGACUGCAUUGGAUAAUCCAGAAUGUUGAGUAAGUGAAUGUUGGAUGAGUGAGACUCUACUGUAAAAAGAUCUUUGCCUCUUAGCAGAAAGACAGCAAAGCUUGACAGCAGUAUGUGUGAAAAAGAUCCCUUGUGGACAAGUUAAACAUGAGCCUACAAUGUGAUGCAGCGGUGAAAAAAGCCAAUGCGAUUUUGGCCUGCAUAAAUAGGGGUAUAGCAUCUAGAUCCAGGGAAGUCAUGCAACCCCUCUAUUCUGCCUUGGUCAGACCACACCUGGAAUACUGUGUCCAAUUCUGGGCACCGCAGUUGAAGGGAGAUGUUGACAAGCUGGAAAAAGUCCAGAGGAGGGCGACUAAAAUGAUCAAGAGUCUGGAGAACAAGCCCUAUGAGGAGAGGCUUAAAGAGCUGGGCAUGUUUAGCCUGCAGAAGAGAAGGCUGAGAGGAGACAUGAUAGCCAUGUAUAAAUAUGUGAGGGGAAGUCAUAGGGAGAAGGGAGCAAGCUUGUUUGCUGCUGCCCUGGAGACUAGGACGCAAUGGAACAAUGGCUUCAAACUACAGGAAAGGAGAUUCCACCUGAACAUCAGGAAGAACUUCCUCACUGUGAGAGCUGUUCGGCAAUGGAACGCUCUGCCCCGGAGUCUGGUGGAAGCUCCCCCUUUGGAGGCUUUUAAACAGAGGCUGGAUGGCCAUCUGUCAGGGGUGCUUUGAAUUAGAUUUUCCUGCUUCUUGCAGGGGUUAGUAGUUUGUGCACUGGACCAGAAUACUGGGAGACAAAGGUUCGAAUUUCUUCCUUGGCCAUGGAAAUCCAUAAUCUCUCUGACUAAGAAGGCAAGGACAAAUACCUCUGAACAAAUGUGCCAAGAAAGCAGCAUGAUAGGGUCACCAUAAGUCAGCAGGGAAGAUGGCUGGCAAACUCCCUAUGGAAAGGAUUUCAAAAUUUAGAAGCAGCCAUCCAGGAGACCCUUUCCCAUGACCCUACCAAAUGUGCCUACUAUGGUGAUCAUACUGAGACAAAACCAUACUCUGGAGAACAGGAGACAUACAGAAGAGCGGCCCAGUUGAGACUGCGGUUACGGUUCGCAGACUGCGACCCUGCCCAGAUUCUGCCGGAGUGGAGCGUGGCCCUUGCACCUCAGUUUGCGAAGCCCUAUGUUGUUGAGCUGUUGAAGUUUGUAGUGCGGGAGUGCAUCUAUUAUGAAGUGUUACCACCAGCACGCCCGGCAGUGCGUGUGCUGGUACGGCUGUACCAGAAGCUCCGACUUUAUUUUAUUUCUGCUAAUGUUUGCAAUCAUAGGGCAGGCCGCCUGUCCAUCAUCAUUAAGUUUGGUUCCGCCCCUUGUUCAGGGCUCUGGGAGGUCAGUCUCACUUAAGGAAACUAAUAGGCUUGAUCGAUCCAUGAAAAAUUUGAUUCUAAACUCGUUUCAAAACUAGAGGGGGCAGUUUUUCGUUUUUGUUGCUAAUAACGAAUUUGGCCCCCAAAAUUUUUCGAAAUUAACGAAAAUUCGUUAUUUUCUAAAUUAAUUCGUUAAUGGCGGACGCGCAUGCGCGGUGGCCCAAAAACAGCCCGAAGGGGGGGGGGGGGACUUAGGGGGCUCUCCCGCCCUCAUUUUUUGAGUGAUCUUCUUCAAACUUGGUACAGUGGUAGAACACAUUUAACACUGAUAGCUCACCAAAAUGUGGAACGUUUCCCUUAUCCUGAUUUUUGGUGCUCAUCUCCAUUUCUAAGCCCAAGAGCCAGUGUUGUCCAUAGACACCUCCAAGGUCAUGUGGCCGGCAUGACUACAUGGAGUGCCAUUACCUUCCCAGAAACACCCAGAAAAUGGGAAUUCCAGACAGGAAACAAUCAGGGCCAGCUAGUACCUCCCAACAAAGGAUUCCCCCAGGUAGGAAGCAGCCAGGCUUUGAAGCUGCAAGGCUAUUCAAUGCUAAUCAAGGUGACCAAUUGCAACAUUCACACUUGCCUCCCACAGACAAGAGUUCUUUCUCCCACCCUGGACCUUCCACAGAUAUAUAAACCCCACUUGCCUAGCUUCGCACAGACGUCAAAACCUGUAUGUCUGCCACAGAUGUGGGUGAAACGUCAGGAGAGAAUGCUUCUGGCACAUGGCCAUAGAGCCCGGAAUACAUACCACAACAGUGUGAUCCCGGCCAUGAAAGCUUUCGACAACACAACCACAGUAUCCAUUCAAGUUCAUGUAGCGUGGUAUGGACUGGAGACCUGUAUUGGGGGGAGGGAGGGUGCGAAUCUGGGCCCCUGGGAGCAGCCGAGGACGGGCCUGGCCCACACCCCCUCGCAUCCCGGGCCUCUUCCUUCCUCUUCCUUUUGUUAUUUAAACUAUAUAUUGUGAAAUUAUGGUGUGUUUUUUUUCAUGCGUGUUCUGUGUUCAAGAUAGGGAGACCAAAGAGGAAAAGCAAGGGAGGGACGGAGGCCCCAACACUUCCGGCUCCCAUGCGAACUCCCCCCUUGUGUGCCUUGGAGGGUGGAGCAUGCGCACUGGCUCUCCCUUUCUCUAUGGCUCUUUUCAGGUCGCUUGGGAACCCGAAGUGCCUCCUCCCUUUGCCUUUGUGUCCAAGAAGGAGAGAAGGACGUUGCAAGGUUUGCAUUGAGGGUGUUUCUCUGGUGGGUUUGGCUUGGAAGGGGGCUCAUUAAGGCCCAAUUAAUUAAUGCACUGAGCUGAGGAGAGGCGGCGGCGGCGGCGGCCAUUUCCCCCCUCCGUCUUCCUCCUCCUCCUCGGCCUCCUUCCCCCUCGCCCCCUCCCAUUGGCUGAGCCUCCCAUUGGCUGAGGGGCAAAAGGAAAGGAGUUUGGGUGAUUUGCAAAAGCUUUUUUUUUCUAACGAAAAAAACGAAGAAAUUAGAAAAAACGGCCUCUCGCGAUUCGAAACCGUGAUAUCCAGACGUGUGGACAACCAAGGUUCGAUAUUGCUUCAAAAAAAACGAAAAUAACGAAUUAAUAACGGGUAACGGGAAAAUCGAAUUAUUUGAGCAAGCCUAGAAACUAAGCUAUAGGAUGUAGACCAGCUCGUCCCGUAGAAAAGCUUCACAUCUCAAGAACAUCCAGGGAUAUAGAACAUCCGAGGAAUCAGAAACAGAAAUUCCAGGGGAAAGGUCCCAAAGGUUUUGGCUAAGAGCUCACAGCCCCUCAACCUCACAGCUCCUGAGGGAAACAGCCCUAAAGUUUCCAAAGAAACCUCCGAGAGGGAACAGCACCACAGAUCCACGGAACCCCAGCUGAAAUAUCUGCAAGCCUUGGUUGGUAGGUCCACUUGAUACCCAGAUGCAUUUGGAAUCGGUAGUGGGUCCCACAUCAGCUAGGCCCAUAUAAUAGACAGCCUGGGAAAGGUUAUAAGGGGGUUUUCUUCUUAUAGAGAAAGCACAGUUAUCCAAAGCCAAUUGUCUGUCUCCUGGGGACAAGACUAAAAAGACCAACAGUGUUAUGAUUGAGCCUCAUGGCUCUGUUACUGGCAGACGUGGGCGUAAGACUCCUCGAGAGUCAGAUACUCUCGAGGAGCGAGAAAGAAAGAGACUGCGAGAUAUCUUUGCAGCACCAUCUGACGAAGAGUCUUUUGAGGGGUUUACGGAGAGAAUGGAGGAGGGGCUGGUUAGCUCGGAGGAGGAUGAGAUGGAUUGGACUCGGGUGAGGGAGGAAUUGGGUGCCACUGGCAAUGAUGGGAUGGAAGAUGAAUGGGGACCUUCAGGAUUAGACCCAUGGACAAGCUGGAGGGAUGGGACGGGAUCCACAGCUGGGGAUGCUGUGGGGCGUAGUCAGAGGUGUUCCAGCUCUGAUGAGGAAAGUGAUGAGGAAACGCCCGGGUUAAGGAGGGCAGCUGAUAGUGAUGAGGAUUUGUAACUGGCAUAAAAUGAGGCUUGGGAGCAAUUGGAAAUUGCGUUGGGCAAGGUAAUCUGGACGAACGCUUGGGAUCUGUGUGGGACGCUUUCCUGAAGACUGGUGUGUUUUCGUGUGCUGAUACCUUUGACCUUCCGUCGUCUUCUUGACGGACGCCAUCUCCUGCUUUGGAUUUCGGACUGAACUGACCACGGCUUGACUUCCCCCUACUCGGACUUGGUGAAACUACAAACGUUCUGCUUCUGGCUUGAACUACGGAAAGGAACUGGGUCUACUCUACUGCUUCAAUCCUCGGCUGAUCUGUGUGUAUUGGAAAUCUUGCCUGCUGUGUGGAGGAGUGACUCAAGUUACUCAAAGCACAGUGCUGGCAGCAGAGAGGAAUCUGCUGCCAAUUAAUUGCAUUCUUUUGAACACUUUGUUCCCCGGCUUCUGUUUUGUUUAUCCCCAGGCUGAAGCAAGCUGUUUUGUUUUUACCCGGAUUAAACUCUGGUUUAAUCCGGUUUAUCUUUUGAACGUUUUUCCUUGCCCCUUUUUGCUUUUAAAGGCUAAUACUGCCUGGCCCUUGUAUUUUACGGGCAUUUUGAGUUCUGUUAUCCAAUAAACUCUGUUAUCUUUGAUCUUGUGGCGUUUUGUCCUUGACAAACAGUUUAUUAAGGAAACCUUGAAGUGUUAUUUGACUCCUUGAAGAUUUAUUAUUUGUUCAAUAAUAAAGACUUUGUUAUCUAGUUAAAGACUCAAAGGACUAUCCUUAUCAGGAAAAUCCUCAAGAACCUCUCUUUGAGAUGCCCUGGCUUCCCACUGGGCAUAAAGUAUACGUCCUAUACAAAGACAAUAGCUACAGGCCCAGCACGUGACAGAACAAUGCGACCUAGACAAAGUUAGAGUCAUGAUUUUGGGAGAUGAGGCCGCUUGUCACCUAUCAGACAAUAGCCUAGCCUUCAACCUCAAGAAAUACAUGUUGCUCAGCAUGUACAUGUUUAUAGAAUUGUACGCUACCAUUCCAGUGUUUCCUAGUCGCUAUAGUGGAGAUCUGAUUGCAUGGGCCACAAAAGGCGUGCUCUUAUUGAAUGAGGUCCUGACUGUUCGGAAGGAUGCGCCCGGCUCUCACCAAGGGAGAGGCUGGGAGAGGUUCACCAAUGCCAUGGUUGCCUGUCUGAACAAGGAACGUGAAGGCCUUGUCUCCUUGCUCUGGGCCCCCCGGGCCUGCAGAAAGGGGAGGCGCAUUGACCGAGGGUGACACACAGUCCUGGAGAUGGAUGUUGCUGGUGACAAACUUGGAUUUUUGGGGUGCUCCUCCAUCUUCAAAAGCCCCAAAAGAGAUUUGAAAGACAAAGGGGUUCAGAAGUUUUCUGACCUGCCUGAUUUCCUCCUUUGGAAGGCGACUUUCAAAAAAGCUGUAAGAGAUUUAAAGUUAUCGGCUGAUGAAGAGCACACACUGCUCAUCGCUUGGCUAGGCCCUACUUCUUCGCUGCAAGUACAGAGUCUAUGACGCACAUGUGUCAGACCCUAAGAGUCCUAGAGACAGUCUGGUAACGCAGGAUAGAUACGGAGCCUCCACUGAAAUCAAGGCUUCUCUGCUAAAUAGACUUUAUAAGUUUCCAAUUCUCAAGCUCAAAGACUGUAAGCAAGUAUGGGAUUUGAGUGACCUACUAGUAGAUUUAGAAUCAGCCAUGACCAGCCCACAGCUCCCUGGAUUGGCAUGCCUUAACCAGUACAUAACACAAAGGCAAAUUCUGCGAAAACUCCCCUUCCAGUUCCAAGAAGCGUGGGGGGGAAGAAGUAUUCACUUAUAAAGAGCAGAAUAUGCAAAGAUAUCCACCUUUUGCCCACCUUGUAGUGUUUAUAACCAGAGCUGGAAAGGAGAGAAAUGAUCUUCAAAAAGGAUUUCCCACUCUUUAUCAAGGCCUUCGGCAGGAAAAGUCACCCAAAGAUCAGAAGUAACUAUUACAACCGAUCCCAGUAGUGUCCACUCCAUUUGAAAAAGUGGGAAUUGAUAUCCUUGGUUCGAUGUCGCCUGUGACCAGAGAUGGACAUCAAUUCAUCUUAACAGCAGUGGACUUCGCAACUAGGUAUCCAGAGGCUAUACCCCUGAAAGAAACUGACUCCAGGAUGAUGGCACACGCAUUGCUGAAUCUGUUCGCGCGUGGGGGAUUUCCCAGAUCAAUAGUAACUGAUUUAGGGACAACCUUCAUGUCAUAGCUGAUGAAGGAGAUGAUGCAUGCGUGUGGGAUCAAACACCUGACGACAACCCCAUAUCAUCCCCAAUCCAGUGGCCUGACCGAGAGGUUCAAUGCUACUCUGAACCAUAUGCUGAGGACUUAUGUCCACAAGAACCCGAAUGAUUGGGACAGGAAGAUUCAACAUUUCUUAUUUGCCUAUCGAGAGGUGCCUCAGGAGAGCACAGAUUACAGUCCUUUCCAGCUACUGUACAGGAGAGCCCCUCGAGGUCCCAUGGACAUCUUAAGAGAAGCAUGGACGGGACGGGAGGAGAUACCAGAGAAAGAUGUCGUCAACUACGUCGAAGAUCUCCAGAGAUCCAUCAUCAGAGACUGUGCAGCAGAGAGCCUAACAGUAGCCCAGAAUCGACAGAAAGAAUAUGCUGAUUUACAAUCAAGGCAUAGGACUUUUGUCGUAGGGGAUAAGGUGUUGGUGCUAAAACCCAGGGCUAAAAGGAAAUUGGAAGCAGCCUGGGAGGGCCCAUACACUGUAGUAGGCAAAGACUCUGAAGUGACUUAUUUGAUUGCAAAGGAGAAUGAGGAGGGGAGAUGCAGAAAGCUACAUGUAAAUAGACUCAAGCCUUAUUUCUCCAGGGCCAAUGUAGUUUUGCAACUUUCCCCAGAGACUGAGGGAGAAAUAUCCUUGUCUGGUUGGGGGAGGGUCGAUACAGAAUGUAACUUGCCUUCAGUAGAGGGAAGUGAAAAUCUCUCUGCUACACAGAAGGAGCAGCUGAGAGAGUUGUUACAACAAUAUAAGGGAGUGUUUUCGAAUGUGCCAGGGAGAACCAACUUAACCUGUCACAGAAUAAACACAAGGACAGCUGACCCCAUUGCAGCUUCACCCUAUAGAGUGAUUGGGGAGCAGGCACAGGUAAAUCUCUAGAGAAAUCCAAGAGAUGUUAAACACAUCAAAGUUACUCAAAAUGUAGUUGCUGAUGCAUUAUCACAAAUAAUUGCAUAAGAUAUUCAGGUAAACCUAAGGUAAUGGGAAAAGUGUAAGUAAAAGGUAAUGUAUGUGAUGUGUAAUGUAAUGUUUUGAAAUGUUUAACCUGUUUCAUUGCAGAUAUAUGAAAUGUAUUUUGACACUGCCCUGAUGAAUGGUCUAUAUUCAUGCAUUAUGUUUAAUGUAUAAAUGCACUGCUAGAACUUGCCUAAUGUUUAAAGACAAUGUUUGACUUAAAUGCAUUGAACGUGAUUUCCUGCUACUUGGCAGGGGGUUGGACUGGAUGGCCCAUGAGGUCUCUUCCAACUCUACUAUUCUAUGAUUCUAUGUAUGAAAAUGUGAUAGAUACCUGUGAUUUGCAAUAGGCAUUUUGUAAUUAGCAAAGUCACUGUGUAGGUGUAGAAAUGUUUAUAUUGAUUGUUUACGAUAGGUUAGAAACUGUAAUAGGUAAGUUAGGAAAGGGAGACAUUUAGAGUGGAUAACUGAGCGCUAGGCACUUUGUCUCCAAAGAGGAGUAAAAUGCCUCUUUAUCCGGAAAGGUUUCUCAGGCCAGGGAGGUAAUGUAGUGAAUCUUACCUGGUAGGCCGGGAAGGAAGCCUGGAUAACAGUAUGGCAGGCCUCCAUUUUGGGAGAGAAUGCCAGGGAGGCAGCUAUCUUGAGUGAGGAUGGUUGGAAAAGGGGAGAAAUUUGGAGAUUUGGAUGGGCCAGAGGAGUUGGGAGGAGCCAAGUAUUAGAGAGGAGAAGAGAGGGAGCUUGAGAGAAAGUGUGGAAGAGUGAGUGAAAGAGUAUGGAGAGUUGAGAGCUCGUGUGUGAAGGUGUAGAGCAGGGAUCCCCAAACUUUUUAAACAGUUCACGGUUCCUCAGACCGUUGGAGGGCCGGACUAUAGUUUUGUUU